GUACCGGACGUCGGAGGUGGAGGUUGUGGAAUUCGUUCUUCGAGAGAAUUCACGAAAAGCCGCUUUCCGUCCUACAUUCCUAAAGGAAGGCGUGUGUUGGGCCUUUCUUUCAGUCGUGAGGGAGGCGUCGACAGCCUGUGGAAGUCUUGAGUUGAGGCUUGCGGGAUCUUUUCCCGAGAAAGCGCAGGGUAAAGCCGCAGGUGAAGAUGUCCAACUACGUGAACGACAUGUGGCCCGGCUCGCCGCAGAAAGAUUCGCCCUCAGCCUCGCGGUCGGGUGGGUCCAGCCGGCUGUCGUCGCGCUCUAGGAGCCGCUCUUUUUCCAGAAGCUCUCGGUCCCAUUCCCGCGUCUCCAGUCGAUUUUCGUCCAGGAGUCGGAGCCGGAGCCGGAGGAGCCGGUCAAGGUCCUGUUCCAGAAGGCGCCACCAGCGGAAGUACAGGCGCUACUCGCGGUCAUUUUCGCGGAGCCGGUCGCGAUCCCGCAGCCACCGGUACCAAGAGAGGCGCUACGGGCUGUCUAGGAGAUACUACCGGUCUCCUUCGCGGUACCGUUCCCGGUCCCGUUCCCGUAGCAGGUCGCGCUCUCGGGGAAGGUCGUACUACGGAAGGGCGUACGCAAUCGCGCGGGGGCGGCGCUAUUACGGCUUCGGUCGCACAGUGUACCCGGAGGAUUACGGCAGAUGGAGGGACAGAUCCAGGACGAGGUCGCGGAGCAGAACCCCCCUUCGCUUAAGUGAAAAAGAUCGAAUGGAGCUGUUAGAAAUAGCAAAAGCCAAUGCAGCGAAAGCUUUAGGAACAACGAACAUUGAAUUGCCAGCUAGUCUCAGAACUGUUCCUGUAGCCAAAGAAACAAGCCGUGGAACAAGUUUAUCAAGUAAUGGUGCAAAGCCCGAAGUAAGUAUUCUAGGUUUGUCCUAACAAAACCUUAAGAAAGCCACUGUCAAAUCUGAUUAGCCAUUUAUUAUUUAUUUACCUUAGACUAUACUUUUUGGAAAGUCUAGCUAUAUAUGUAAAACGUGUUGAAUUCUGAGUAGCAGAUCUGAAGAUAGGCAAAGCCAUACCCAGGAAAGUGGAGAUUAAUGAACUUAAUUGGCCGUGUGUGGUGCCUCAUGCCUGUAAUGAGGCAGAUAGCUUGAGUCCAGGAGUUCAAGAUCAGCCUGGACAACGUGGCUGCGUCUUUACAAAAAAUACAAAAAUGGUGGCACAUGACUGUAGUCUCAGCUGUUUGGGAGGCUGAGGCGGAAGGAUGUUUCAGCCCAGGUUGCAAGGUUGCACCAUUGUACUCCAGCCUGGGCAGCAGAGCGAGACCCAGUCUGAAAAAAAAUUUUUUGUUUUACUUUUUUUCAGUUAACACAGUACUGCUAGUCUCAACGUUAAUAUAUUGUAGUUGGUACUUUGGUGAUUUCUAUUGCCAGUUUUUUAAAGUUAGUCUUUAGAGUAUUUGUAGCUUUUAUUUGCAGCAUUAUGUUCCCACAAAUUUUGUACUCAGCAUAUACAGUAUAGUUUAUCUGCUUUAUUUCUGUCUUAUAGAAAUCAUGAAUGUGGUCUGCAGACAUUGAUGAAGAAAAUCUGUUGAUGUUUUGAGAGAUUACAGAAGAGGAGGCCUGCUUCACUUGCAGAUAAGUUUAUUAUAAUUCUCCAGAAAUGUGCAGGAUGUGCAUUAGCAAAUUGCACUGUACUUUUAAGUUAUAAAGAUACUCUGUCUAGGCUGGGUGGCUCACACCUAUAAUCCCAGCACUUUGGGAGGCCGAGAUGGGUGGAUCACCAGAGGUCAGGAGUUUGAGAACAGCCUAGCCAACAUGGCAAAACCUUGUCUCUACUAAAAAUACAAAGAUUGCAGCGAGGUGCAGUGGUUCACGCCUGUAAUUCCAACACUUUGGGGAGGCCAAGGCAGGUGGAUCAUGAGGUCCGGAGAUGGAGACAAUCCCUGGCGAACAUCAUGAAACCCCAUCUCUACUAAAAAUACAAAAAUUAGCUGGGCGUGGCAGCCUGUAGUCUCAGCUAUUUGGGAGGCUGAGACAGGGGAAUAGCUUGAACCUGGGAGGCAGAGUUUGCAGUGAGCCACGUUCAUUGCACCACUGCACUCCAGCCUUGGGACAGAGUGAAACGCCCUCUUAAAACCAAAACAGAAACCAAAAAUUACCCGGGCGUGGUGUGUGCCUGUAGUCCCAAAUAAUGGGGAGGCUGAGGUGGGAGAAUCACUUGAACCCAGUAAGUGGAGGUUGCAGUGAACCAAGAUCAUGCCACUGUACUCCAUCCAGCCUGAUUAGCAGGGCACAGUGAAACUUUGAGGGAAAAAAAGAUUCUACGAUAUCUAAAUGAACCUGUAAUUGGGCCCAGAUGUGAGUAUGCUCAGUAUUAGUAGACAUGGUCUGUCUUGUUUGUUCAGAUGAUUAGGGGCCCAACUGGCAAAUACCUUAAUUUCUUAAAACUAGGUAUUUUCUGGUGUGACUUUACUUUUCAAAAGUUAACUUGAUUCAACUUGAGAAAACUGAUUAAAAAAUUGUUCUUUAAAUUACUUAAAUUUGCCAGCAAGGAAAUAAAAUAAUUAUGGGAAGAGUGUCUUAA